GUUAAACUAGUUGUAUGUACAUCAUUAGGCAAUCUUGAGUUGCUAGACGAUACUAUGUAGUAGUUCCUAUAAUUAAGAUCUCAUGCAAGUUUGUGCCAUCGAGUGCAGCAAUAAGUUGAUUGCAUCUGCUAGAGACUAAACAUGUGUGCUUGCAUCUUGUUCUCAUGUGUUGGAUCGAUUCAGCCUUUGCCUAUUUGGCAACACACAUGCCGUCUAUAGUUUGGUUAUUUUUGCUGCAACAGUUCACAUCAUGCACGAAUAACUAGUCGAUAGAUGUUGCACACUUGUACUAUAGGUUGCGGGUGUUAUAUAUCAUCAAUCAAAAGAC
rnacentral:lncRNA from 7 species